ACCCAGGCGGGGGCCCAUGGACCCUAGUGAGUACCCCCUGCAGGCCUGGGGAGGGGGGUCCCCCCACAGAGACCCCGGCCUCUACCCCAGCCCCCCGCAGCCCACCUACCACCACCCGCACCUCCACCCGGCGUACCCCUCCAGAGACGGAUACCCCCAGCAGGGGGGCGACCCGCGCCAGGCCGACCCAGGGUACUACCCUCCUCCCCCCGUCCAGCCGAGGGGCCCCCUGAGGCAGGACGUGCCCCCCUCCCCCCCGUGCCCGUGCGCGCCCCCCGGUACGACACCCUCAACCGGGGCCCGCCGGGCGGGGGCGGGGGCGGGGGCGGGGGCUACAGGCAGGCCAGCCCGGAGCGCUACGCCUACGGAGACCCUCGGCAGACGAGUGCCAUGACCGCCGCCGUGUAGUGGAGCUCCAGCCAACCAAACCAAACCAGACAACACGGUUGAUGAUGUGUGUCUGUGUGUGUGUGUGUGUGUGUGUGUGUGUGUGUGUGUAUAUGUAAACCUAAGCAUGUUCAUUCAUAUCUGUGUGUGCUCAGGAAUGUGCCUUGUGUGCUUGCAGGUGUGUAUAACAGGAGAACGUGUAUGUGUGUGUGUGUGUGUGUGUGUGCAUGCAUGCAUGUGUGUUUAUGUGACCAAACUCAACACAUGUACAGUGUGUGUGUGUGUGUGUGAGCGAGAGAGAGAGUGUGUGUGAGUGAGUGAGUGAGUGAGAGAGUGAUGUAAAGGCUCCUGCAGUGUUUUUAUGAAAGAAACUGCGGAUGUCACUAGAAGGGAACCACUGAAACCUGACACUCACUCACACACUCUCUCACACACUCACUCACACACUCUCUCACUCACGGCAGAGGAGCUCUUGCUGCCCCACUCACAUCACACCAGCAGGAGCAAAAAUGUGCCAUAACCGUCAAAGUGAAGGACACCGACGCUCCGUGUGUGUGUCCGUGCGUGUGCACGUGCGGGUGUGUGUGUGUGUGUGUGCCUGCGUGUGCAAGUGUGCAUGUGCUUGCGUGUGCGCUCGUGUGUGUGUGUGUGUGUGUGUGUGUGUGUGUGUGUGUGUGUGUGUGUGUGUGUGUGUGUGUGUGCGCGCGCGUGCGUGCGCGCGCGUGUGUGUGUGUGUGUGUGUGUGUGUGUGUGUGUGUGUGUGUGUGAUGAUUGUUGCAUCUCCGUCCUGUGACAUGUGUUGCUCCUCUCAGCAUUAGUGCUCUAUAACCCUCUUUGCCAAAACCAGCUCAGACCUCAGCAGCUGACUCUGGAGUAGCCCAUGACUCAGAACUGGCCUGCAUCUGGCCUGCAUCUGGCCUGCAUCUGACUCAGAACUGGCCUGCAUCUGGCCUGCAUCUGACUCAGAACUGGCCUGCAUCUGGCCUGCAUCUGACUCAGAACUGGCCUGCAUCCGGCCUGCAUCUGGCCUGCAUCUGGCCUGCAUCUGGCCUGCAUCCGGCCUGCAUCCGGCCUGCAUCUGGCCUGCAUCUGACUCAGAACUGGCCUGCAUCUGGCCUGCAUCUGGCAUGCAUCUGGCAUGCAUCUGGCCUGCAUCCGGGCCCGGGCCCACUAAAGCUGCACCUGAUGUGGCCCCAGUCCAUCUCUAAGCGUAUCACACCUCCUAAUGGAAACAGAGGGCCCAGUUAUCUGGUGCUGAUGCCAGAGGGCCCAGUCAUCUGGUGCUGAUGCCAGAGGGAAAGCCUUGGGCUGGCCCCAGGUCUUAGCAGGAAACAGGCCAUAAAUCUGCUCCUGAUUUGGCACCAGUAUAGGCCUGGAUAUGGCCCUGAUAUGGCCCAGAUAUGGCCCUGAUAUGGCAUAGGUAGUAUGGCCCUGAUAUGGCAUAGAUAUGGCCCUGAUAUGGCCCAGGUAUGGCAUGGUUGUGGGUCUACUAGAUAUGAGCCUUUCAGAGUCAGCUGUUGUGUUUGAGGUCUCUCAAUGCAUGCUGUUAUUCCAUUAACACAAGGUCACUUUGUAAAGACUAACUGAAAGUAUAUCGCUUUUGUUUGUUUGUCUGUUUGUUCUUGUUUAUUGUUUUUGCAUACUCCAGCAUGUCAUUUCUCCUGUUUUGUUUGUAUUGAAGACAUGAAUCAGCCACUCCUGAAUCAGAAGAUCACACCCUUUACGUGUGAGAAGAGAGACUAAGAUGGUCUCGUGUAGUGUGUGUGUGUAGUGUGUGUGUGUGUGUGUGUGUGUGUGUGUGUGUGUGUGUGUGUGUGUGUGUGUGUGUGUGUGUGUGUGUGUGUGAUAAGAGAGGCUAAGAUGGUCUUGUGUAGUGUGUGUGUGUGUGUGUGAUGCUGGUGAGAAGAGAGACUAAGAUGGUCUCGUGUAGUGUGUGUGUGUGUGUGUGUGUGUGUGUGUGUGUGUGUGUGUGAUAUUGGUGAGAAGAGAGACUAAGAUGGUCUCGUGUAGUGUGUGUGUGUGUGUGUGUGUGUGUGUGUGUGUGUGUGUGUGUGUGUGUGUGUGUGUGUGUGUGUGUGUGUGUGUGUGUGUGUGUGUGUGUGUGUGUCAUGCGGGUCAUAUGAGCAUGUGGAGUACACAGAGGUGACUAAGACCGCGGGGGGGGGUCACACAGAAGAUGAGAGGCGUGAGCGCGCAAACAGGAAGUGUGGAAGCUCGUUUUGGAACCGCGAUGAACAGACAGACAGGAAGGAUGAGAAGGAGACAUGACUCUUGUCCCCAAACACUCCCAAAGGCAGGCAGCCCUAUUGAUCUUGGCCUGGGGGGGGUGGGGGGGGGGGGGUCGGACGAGAGGCUGGCGGAUGGUGGGCAGGAAACGUGACUACACCCACGUACUCCCCAACCUCCACCACCACCACCAUUCUUCAAUCUCUGGCCACUGAUCUUGGCCUUGGGGGUAGGGGUGUUGGGCGGGGGGGCUGUAACCUGUCUGCCUUUUUCACCCUCCUGUAGCUGUCUUAUUGCAGGAUGUAGUACAGCCCUCCCAGAACGGGGGUUCAGGGUUUGCCUAGAUACGAGCGGCCAUUGGGUUGAGGGUGGGGUGACACAUCAACAUUCCACACGAUUGUUUUUUUUUUUUCUUUUUUUUCUUUUUUUUUCAUUGUUUUGUUUUUGUAUGUCUUUGUUUGUUUUCUUUACACAUUUGUAGCCAAAUACAGUGUUUAAGUGAAAUUUUGCAUUUGGUGUCAAUUGUUUUUUUAUUUCAUAAACGUUAUUAUGCAUUUUCAUUAUAAUGGUUGCACAACGUCUUGUUUUUGAAGGUACUGACUGCACUCCCAAUGUGCAGAGCCUGUGGUAAUAAUGGAAGUAACACGAAACACAAUAAUACUGUGGAGAAUGAUGUUCAACAUUAACAUUUUACUCCAUCAAAAAAAAAUGCAUCCCCACAUAAAAAAAAGUGUGACUAAUUUCAUAUCAUGUAACAUUUGUAAGCAUUUUCUCUUUGAUAUUAAUGUGGUG
ensembl:lncRNA